rnacentral:rRNA from 1 species
GACGAACGCUGGCGGCGUGCCUAAUACAUGCAAGUAGAACGCACAGUUUAUACCGUAGCUUGCUACACCAGAGACUGUGAGUUGCGAACGGGUUAGUAACGCUUAGGUAACCUGCCUGGUAGCGUGGGAUAACUAUGGGAAACGAUAGCUAAUACCGCAUAAUAUUAGUUAUUGCUUGGUAAUUAAUGGAAAGUGGCAAUGGCACCACUACCAGAUGGACCUGCGUUGUAUUAGCUAGUAGGUGAGGUAACGGCGCACGUAGGCGACGAGACAUCGCCGCACGGAGAGGGUGAGCGGCCACACUGGGACUGAGACACGGCACAGAGGCCUAGGGGAGGCAGCAGUAGGGCAUCUUCGGCAAUGGACGAAAGUCUGAGCGAGAAACGCCGAGGGCGUGAAGAAGGUUGUCGGAUCGGAAAGCUCGGUUGUAAGAGAAGGACGGGUGUGAGAGUGGAAAGUUCACACUGUGACGGUAUCUUACCAGAAAGGGACGGCUAACUACGUG